UUGAAAUCGAUCACUUCAGGUACUAUUACUGUGCAUACCUAGCUAAAUUAGUGUCUAGUUUCGUCUCUGAUGACAUUUAUUUCGUAAAAAUCGCUGUUUUUUUCUAAAAAGGUGUUUUGUGGUCAUUUUGGCUGUUUAUUUCGAGGGUACGGUAGGAGGUCAUCGUUCACUCGAUAACUCUUUUUAAAAUGAAAUAAAAGCGUUUUAAGAUACAUGAUAUGAAUUGAUAUUAAUAUUCGUUAAGUGGGAUUGUCGGUGGACGUUCAUUGGUGAACAGUUGUGCUGGAAUUACGAAAAUAUAUCGAUAUCGUUGAGAGUUCAUUCAUUAGGGGCCUGCUCUCAAUUUUCCUUACAACGCCUCUAGCACUGGGCAAUUGCCACCAUCUUGAAAAGCAGUGCCGCGGAUGGCUAUCGCAUCGCCACUACGCAUGAGAACACGAUGGCUGCCCUGCGCUGCAUUGAUAGUUCGUAAUAAAUUCACAUAAAAACACACCAGAAGAUCUCCGAUUUUAUUUACAAAGAUCAUAUUUUGUUAUUUAUUGAUAAAACAAGCCAUUUUACCACAGCAGGUGACACAUAUUAGGCCUGAAUAAGACUUUAGAAUUUGAAGUGGUGGUGACGAUGCCGAUAUCCAAGAUGGCGGAAUUAUACCAGUGGUCAAAUCUCAUCUAUUUUGGGUAAUUGCAUCAUUAUUUCUUUUUGUGAUUGGUGAUUUGUAAAAUUGAGAAUGAUUGAAAAAUCAGUAUUUUUUCACCCAAAGGCAUGAGUGAACAUUUGAUAAGUUUAUUGUGAUUUAAUUGGUAAUUUGGUCGACAUUUUGACAAUUAUAUUUAGCAAUAUUUCGAUAAAUGCGGACCUGCUUCUUCCUCUUUUCGCAGUGACGGUGUUUCGAUAACUCAGUUAGACUUCGAGAUCUACAUUUUCGACAAAGGCCUGGUGUAAUAUUAUUACGUACUUGAUGAAGGUAAUAUUAAUUUCUUCAAAUUUGAAGCAUGACGUUAAUGGAGUACCAGCACAACUUCAUUGACUGCUACGUGGCGCUGGUGGAAACUAAGGUAUUGCAUCGCUCAUAUCACUUGAAAAAAACAUUUACCCUAGUUACGACCAAAGCUGCUUAGCAGAGGGCGAUACCUCAUCAGGAGCGCCACAAUCAUAUCAUUGGUGUGAAAGCAUUUGUAUGAAGUUUUUCAGUUCUCAAUGUGUUCGAAACCUUAAUUGUGAAUUUGUGCACUUCGAAUUCAAAUUUACGUCACUACGUUAGUUUGACAUCCAUUGAUGUCACGGUAAUUUCACUGUUAUGCUGUGCUGCUUUCAGUUUUAAUGACACGAAUGAGUACAAGUACAUUACAUUUUUCGACGAAGGCCUUCUGUAAUUUCAUACGCUUCUUACGGUUAGUAUUGAUUCAUAAUUUCUAGUAAAAAAGUUAAUUUUGAAAGUGAAAAAUAUGUUACAAUACAAUAGACCUGCAAAUACCAUAUACGCAAGUUUUGAACAAAUAUCACACAUAUUCCCCAGUUGACUUGUGAUGAUAUUGAUAAUGGUGGUGGUGGUGUUAUCAUGUACAUGGCUUCUAACGUAGUAAGUGUUUUCUUUUCAGCAACAUUCAAUAGAUUUAUUUACUGUAUUAUCAUUUCGACCAAGGCGAAUUCGACACUUCAAUUCAAUUACACAAGCACAAUCAAACUUAGUCAUUCCAGUCAGUUACUGAAGCACAGCGAAAACUGUCUGAAUUAGUGCUGCUGAUGGCAUGUAAUUACUCUACUACCACUACCAGUGACAGUCAAUGUCCAAAUAUUUUCAAGUGUGCGAAAUUAGUACUCGUCUACUUCUUAGUGUUAUUUGAAUGCAAUGUAUGUUAUAAAAAUAUUUUUUCAGCACUAUAUCAACAUUCUCAUUCCUGUCAGUUUCUGAAAAUCAGCUAAAGCAAUCGCUACCAAUGCAGCGGAUAACAGCAAUUCUUUUUGUUCCCAAUGCCCAUCCAUGACAAUAUAUUUCACGCAUGUGACAAUCAUGUAAUCAUCGUGUUUUUUGUGUUCUAUUCAUGCAAUAAAUAAAUUCAGUAUUUUCAAAUCAUUGGUGCUACAAAACUAUUCUCAUUAUAGAUUAUUCAUAUUUUAUAAAAUGCUGUCAUGUCAAAUUUUGUGUCCUAUAAAUCAUAAUGAAGUCGGCAUUUUAUAUACAACUUUUGUACUCCUCCUAAAUAAACAUACAAAUCUUGUUUUAUGUAAACUUUGUAUAUGUGACCCGUCACAGCAAAACCAGGCGCAUGUCGCUCUGAGCUUGGCAGGUUGAGACGGACUGUUCUAAUCUUUCAUUAGCGACACCAUUUCUUACCAGAGUGCCUCCUUCAUUCAUACAUCUUGUACUUUAACUCAAGAUACCCAUCUUUGAAUAUUUUUAGUAUACCAAGUACUACAAUGUCAAUGUAUUGAAGUCAUGUUCUUGUAGUGUUAUUGGCUUUCUAUUAUCUUGUCAAAAUACCACUUGGUUCUCGCAAAAUCUCAAUAAAAACAAAUGCUAUUGCAUGUAUUGCAUAUUCUAACAGCUAUCCACUGUAUCGAUUUAUCCAUCAUCUGUACUAUUUGUCACAAAAAUGUUAUAUUAUGUAAAUCAUAUUUCAUUACAUAAUGCACACUGCCAAUUACUGCUGAACCAUUCAUAUGUCAUUUAAAUAAAUAAUUUUCAACUUUUUAAAACCGUCUUAUAGUACUGUUCUUGUCACUUAGCUGAACCAAUUGCUCUAUAGCAUGAAAUUUCCAGAAAUGCCCCAGGGACUGAAAAGUGCUGUUUUAACAGAGAGGUGUCCUAAACUGAGAAGUCGAGUUGAAUGGAAACAACCAAUUUGGAACAAAAAACUACUGUCCUUAUUAAAGAGGUUGUCCUCAAUAGAAAGGUGUCCACAAAAAGUAGGUCCACUGUAUAUGAAAGUACAAACCCUGGUACAUGUAGUGACAUCAUCUACUCCUCGAUGUGGACACCUGCAAAUGCAGCGACAAUGUCACAUCAGUUAUUUAAUUCAUCGUCCUUUGUGCAGAUGGCACCACCCAUCAAACAUGUUGGUGACGAAUAGUGUCGCAGCAUUUCGUCACCGAGCUUUCACGAAAAUGCACUGUCAUUCAUUCAGCCAUAAGUGUAAGACUGUAGGAUUGUUUCCAACCAAAACAUGUUCGAAAUGUGUCAAGCAUUCGGAACACCCAAAGACUGAUUAGAGAAGUCAAAAUUGAAUGGAAACAACCAAUUUGGAACCAAAACUAGUGUCCUUAUUGGAAAGGUUGUCUUUAAUAGAGAGGUGUCUACUAACGGAGGUUCCACUGUAUAUAAUGUAGGAACCCUGGUUGUGACAUUGUCCACUCCUCCAGCUGCACACCACCAAAUCCACAACAAUGUCACACCAGUUAUUUAGUUCAUCAUGCUUAUGGUCAUUGUACUUUCAUCUUAUGUAAAAUGUAAC